UACAGAGGUGGCAAGCGUUGUUCGGAAUUACUGGGCGUAAAGCGCGCGCAGGCGGUUUUGUAAGUCUGUCGUGAAAGCCCCGGGCUCAACCUGGGAAUUGCGAUGGAGACUGCAAGGCUUGAAUCUGGCAGAGGGGGGUAGAAUUCCACGUGUAGCAGUGAAAUGGCGUAGAGAUGUGGAGGAACACCGAUGGCGAAGGCAGCCCCCUGGGUCAAGAUUGACGCUCGAUGCACGAAAGCGUGGGGAGCAAACAGG
rnacentral:rRNA from 1 species